CGGCGGACGGGUGAGUAACGCGUGGGUAACCUGCCUCAUACAGGGGGAUAACAGUUAGAAAUGGCUGCUAAUACCGCAUAAGACCACAGCACCGCAUGGUGCAGGGGUAAAAACUCCGGUGGUAUGAGAUGGACCCGCGUCUGAUUAGCUAGUUGGUGGGGUAACGGCCUACCAAGGCGACGAUCAGUAGCCGACCUGAGAGGGUGACCGGCCACAUUGGGACUGAGACACGGCCCAA
rnacentral:rRNA from 1 species